GGGGUGUGCGGCCAACAUGGCGGAGGUCAGCUGAGUGCGGGCAGCGGCCGGCCCUCCCCGCGGCGUCCCGGAGCGCCGGCCGCACGGGGCCGUCCGUCCUGGGCCGCCGCUCGCUGCCCCGGACCCCGGCCGCAGCGGUCGGCGACGGUGCCGCGCUCUGGUCCGGCCUGCGGCUUCAUUGUGCAGGGGGAAGAAGGCAGCCUCCUCCCUUGUUUAUGUCGUUGGAGAGCAGAGCGCGUGAGCGGCUUGCCAGAAAUGAGCCGUCAGACUGCCACAGCAUUACCUACCGGUACCUCCAAGUGUCCACCAUCCCAGAGGGUGCCUGCCCUGACCGGCACAACUGCGUCCAACAAUGACUUGGCCAGUCUGUUUGAGUGCCCGGUCUGCUUUGACUAUGUGCUGCCACCCAUUCUCCAGUGCCAGAGUGGCCAUCUUGUUUGUAGCAACUGUCGCCCAAAGCUCACAUGUUGUCCAACUUGCCGGGGCCCAUUGGGAUCCAUUCGCAACUUGGCUAUGGAAAAAGUGGCCAAUUCAGUACUUUUUCCUUGUAAAUAUGCCUCUUCUGGAUGUGAAAUAACUCUGCCACACACAGAAAAAGCAGACCACGAAGAGCUCUGUGAGUUUAGGCCUUACUCCUGUCCGUGCCCGGGUGCUUCCUGUAAAUGGCAAGGCUCUCUGGAUGCCGUCAUGCCCCAUCUGAUGCACCAGACAAGUCCAUCACCACCCUGCAGGGGGAGGACAUAGUUUUCCUUGCUACAGACAUUAAUCUUCCUGGUGCUGUUGACUGGGUGAUGAUGCAGUCCUGUUUUGGCUUUCACUUCAUGUUAGUCCUGGAGAAACAGGAAAAAUACGAUGGUCACCAGCAGUUCUUCGCGAUUGUACAGCUGAUAGGAACACGCGAGCAAGCGGAAAAUUUUGCUUACCGACUUGAGCUAAAUGGGCAUAGACGGCGAUUGACUUGGGAAGCAACUCCUCGGUCCAUUCAUGAGGGAAUUGCAACAGCCAUUAUGAAUAGUGACUGCCUAGUCUUUGACACCAGCAUUGCACAGCUUUUUGCAGAAAAUGGCAAUUUAGGCAUCAAUGUAACUAUUUCCAUGUGUUGAAAUGGCAAUCAGACAUUUUCUGGCCAGUGUUUAGAACUGUUGCAUUCAAUUUCACAGGAAAUAAGGCACCCAUCUGCCUGCCAGCCUGAAACUCUUUUGGUGGGUGGAAGGUAGAUACAUGAAGGUAAAUAAAAGAAAGGCUGUUAAAUACAGGAAGCAGUUGCAUGUAGUAACACUAAUAUAUUUAAAAAUAAGUCAACAGUAAACCACUGAAAAAUAUAUAUAUAUAUACACCCAAGAUGGGCAUCUUUUGUAUUAAGAAAGGAAGCAUUGUAAAAUAAUUCUGAGUUUUGUGUUUGUUGUAGAUUGAUUGUAACGCUGAAAAUUACUGGGUUUUUGUGUGUGUGUGUGUGUUUGAGCGUGUGCGUGUGAGCGUGCUUGAGCACGUGUGUGUGAGCGUGCAUGUGUGUGAGUGAUCGAAUGUGUGUGUGAGCAAACAUGUAUGUGCGAGCGUGUGCGCGUUUUCUUCUCUUGAACUGACAAGCCAUCUUGCGUGGUCUUGGGCCACUGCUUUUCCCCUUUGUGAGUCAUUACAUAGUGCUGCUUUUUGUGUGUGUGUGUGUUUAUUUGCUAAUUUUUAUUCUAGUUUUUCAUUAAAUAAAUUUGACUUUCUUUUCUGUAAUUCAGGUUUUUCCUCGCCCUUUUUUGUACCAUUUUAAAGUUAAAGCAUCCUUUGACAUGCAUAAUUGUUUAUGGUAAAGUUCAUACUGUGUUCCGUACAUAUUUUCUGUCCCACAUUAAUCAGUUCAUUAGAAUUAUUUUAAAUUCAGUUAUUUGGUGAAGUUCCAGAAGAGAAAGGUGACAUCAGAAAAAUUAUCAAAAGCUUAUUUAAAGCAACUCUAAGAUGGUCUCCCUCUUUCUCUUUUUCUCCCUUUCUGUUUUACAGUUGAGUCAUAUCUUCAAACAAUCUUUGAAAAGUUAAGAAAUAAAUUGAUUUUUAAAUAU